rnacentral:rRNA from 1 species
CGCAUCUGUGCAUGCAGCAUAUCAAUAAGCGGAGGAAAAGAAACCAACAAGGAUUCCCCUAGUAACGGCGAGUGAAGCGGGAAGAGCUCAAAUUUGAGAUCUUAAAGGGUUUCCCUUUACGAAUUGUAGUUUAAAGAAGUGUUUUCUGUUGAGGUUUUGGUAAAAGUUCUUUGGAAUAGGACAUCAUAGAGGGUGAGAAUCCCGUAUUUGACCUUUACUUUCAACUUUGUGAUACACUUUCAAAGAGUCGGAUUGUUUGGGAAUGCAGUCCAAAAUGGGUGGUAAAUUUCAUCUAAAGCUAAAUAUUGGCGAGAGACCGAUAGCGAACAAGUACCGUGAGGGAAAGAUGAAAAGAACUUUGAAAGGAGAGUUAAACAGUACGUGAAAUUGUCAAAAGGGAAGCGUUUGACACCAGUGUUGUUUUUCUGAAAAUCAAUUAAAGAACUGUUUAUGCUAAGUUGUUUAGACUUUAUCAGCUAACUGUUUAGUUUUGAGCUUUUCUUUAAUGCACUUUUCAGUUAACAAGUCAACAUCAAUUUCUUUUGCUGUAAAAAAGCUUGAGGAAGGUGGCUUGAGAUUCGUCUUAAGUGUUUAUAGCCUCUUGCCUAUGCAGUCGGAGAGAUUGAGGUCUGCAGCGUAGAUCCUUCGGGGCUAAAUGCAUUUGUGCUAAGUUAUAGCAUUUUAUAGACAACUUGUUGACUAUGAUUUGUCUUGUAGCUUACUCGCUUAUGUUAUUUUACCUACGCUUAGGAUGUUAAGAUGUAGCACAUCAU